GACGAACGCUGGCGGCGUGCUUAACACAUGCAAGUCGAACGGAAAGGCCCUGCUUUUGUGGGGUGCUCGAGUGGCGAACGGGUGAGUAACACGUGAGUAACCUGCCCUUGACUUUGGGAUAACUUCAGGAAACUGGGGCUAAUACCGGAUAGGAGCUCCUGCUGCAUGGUGGGGGUUGGAAAGUUUCGGCGGUUGGGGAUGGACUCGCGGCUUAUCAGCUUGUUGGUGGGGUAGUGGCUUACCAAGGGUUUGACGGGUAGCCGGCCUGAGAGGGUGACCGGCCACAUGGGUACUGCGAUACGGACCAGACUCCUACGGGAGGCAGCAGUGGGGAGUAUUGCACAAUGGGCGGAAGCCUGAUGCAGCAACGCCGCGUGCGGGAUGACGGCCUUCGGGUUGUAAACCGCUUUCGCCUGUGACGAAGCGGGAGUGACGGUAAUGGGUGAAGAAGCACCGGCUAACUACGUG
rnacentral:rRNA from 1 species